UCAGAUGUCGAUUGAGUAUUAUCAAUUCGGGCCUCAUAAAAUAGAUGCAAGGGAUGUAUUCUAUACAACUCCUCUCUCCUUUGUCAUGGUCAACUUACGCCCUGUGCUUCCUGGUACUCCUUUUUAUUCUAUUUUAUUUAUACUAUCUCUUUGUUUUAAUUUACUCUGCUUCGCUUCCAGUCCGCUUGACCGAUUAGUUUUCAAACAGUUUUAUUUAGCUAGUCACUCGAGUUAGAAAUCUUGAGUAGGAGGCAUGAGGCCAAAAAAAAAAAAAAAAAAAAAACUCUGCUUCUUUUUUUAUUUUUUUUGGUUUUGAUUAAUUUCUCUUUUCCUUUGCAGGUCAUAUCCUUCUUCCGUUUAUGAGAUUAAACCAUGUAAACUAUGGUGUCAUUUGACAUGUUUCAAUAGUUGACCUGCAUAAACUGGAUGCAUAUCCGCCCUGUCUGAGUAAUUAGACUUGCUUCUUUAAUAAAUCUAUCCCCUAAACAUAUUCAUCCAAUUUUAUUUGUUUGCCUUGUAUAAAAUUUCUACUAGUAAACUUUUGUGUGAAUCUGCUUUUUGCAUAAUAUUGCAAGUGGAAAAUUGAGGACCAAGUGAUUAAUAGACUUGUUUUAUGUAAUAAAUUCAUUGUUCUGCCUUAAUAUCCAUUAGGUGUGUAGGCUUGCACUCUGUCAGAGAUUGGUACAAUAUUAGGAAUGCUGCAUGCUGCUGUUAUAAACUUUGGGCACAUCCCAUUGUGUAUAAUUUUCUCGUGUCUGCAUAUGCUUUCAUGUGUGUGUGUGUGUUCAGAGCUUUAGUUCAGCUGUACACUUAACAAUGUGUACAUGUACUUGUCGUCCCAAAGCGUGAAGUUAAGCGAUUUGCUGAUCUUACUGCUGAUGAAAUUUGUGAUUUAUGGCUCACGGCACGGAAGGUCGGCAGACAGCUUGAAGUCUACCACAAGGCUUCAUCACUC
rnacentral:lncRNA from 1 species